rnacentral:rRNA from 1 species
UACGAAGGGAGCUAGCGUUGUUCGGAAUCACUGGGCGUAAAGCGCACGUAGGCGGAUGUGUCAGUCAGGGGUGAAAUCCCGGAGCUCAACUUCGGAACUGCCUUUGAUACAGCACAUCUGGAGUCCGGAAGAGGUGGGUGGAAUUCCUAGUGUAGAGGUGAAAUUCGUAGAUAUUAGGAAGAACACCGGUGGCGAAGGCGGCCCACUGGUCCGGUACUGACGCUGAGGUGCGAAAGCGUGGGGAGCAAGCAGG